rnacentral:misc_RNA from 1 species
AUUAUUUGCUUAUCAUGAACGACAGUCGCCGUUGCCUUGAGGUGUCGGAUCCCCCCGGGUUGAACCGCCCUCAUGCUACGUCGACGUCGGUGAUGAAUGC